GACGAAGGUGGCAAGCGUUGUUCGGAUUCACUGGGCAUAAAGGGCGCGUAGGCGGCCACCGCAAGUCGGUUGUGAAAUCUCCGGGCUUAACCCGGAAAGGUCAAUCGAUACUGCGGGGCUAGAGUGCAGAAGGGGCAACUGGAAUUCUCGGUGUAGCGGUGAAAUGCGUAGAUAUCGAGAGGAACACCUGCGGCGAAGGCGGGUUGCUGGGCUGACACUGACGCUGAAGCGCGAAAGCUAGGGGAGCGAACGGG
rnacentral:rRNA from 1 species